ensembl:misc_RNA Metazoa_SRP Metazoan signal recognition particle RNA
GCUAGGUGUGGUGGCACAUGCCUGUAGUCCCAGCUACUUGGGAGGCUGGGGUGGGAGAAUCGCUUGAGCCCAGGAGUUCUGGGCUGUAGUGUGCUAUGCUGAUCUGGUGUCCUCACUAAGUUCGGCAUCAAUGUGGUGACCUCCCAGGAGUGGGGGACCACCAGGUUGCCUAAGAAGGGGUGAAAUGGCCCAGGUUAGAACAGAGCAGGUCAAAACUCCUGUGCUGAUCAGUAGUGGGACUGCGCCUGUGAAUAGCCACUGCACUCCAGCCUGAGCAACAUAGCGAGACCCCUCUCUAA